GACGUAGGGCGCGAGCGUUAUCCGGAAUUAUUGGGCGUAAAGAGCUCGUAGGCGGUAUGUCACGUCUGCUGUGAAAACUGGAGGCUCAACCUCCAGCCUGCAGUGGGUACGGGCAAACUAGAGUGCGGUAGGGGGAGAUUGGAAUUCCGAGUGUAGAGGUGAAAUUCGUAGAUAUUCGGAGGAACACCAGUGGCGAAGGCGGCCAUCUGGAUCAACACUGACGCUGAGGCACGAAAGCGUGGGGAGCAAACAGGG
rnacentral:rRNA from 1 species